rnacentral:sRNA from 1 species
UUUAUUGGCUGUGAGGGCGGGUGAGAAUCCUCGCGGGUUCGACCGUAGGCUGCGCAGCAGCCGUAGGAACGUCGGAGCGAAGCGACGACGGCCCCGAAGGGGAGAGGCCCGAAGGGCCGAAUAAUCCCUCCCUCUCCGCCA